rnacentral:rRNA from 1 species
ACGUGCCUUAGGACCGGCUUAAAUUGGGCGUUUUGAUCCCUGUUUACUGCUAAAUCCUGCUUAUAGAACUUGUUUCAUAGUUCUUUCCGUGUUUUAUUUCUAAUUUAGAAAAUGUAGCCCAUUUCUCCCAUCUCAGUUAGCUACACCUUGACCUGACUUGUUAGCUACAAUUAGCUGUUUUGCUUACUUUUAUAUCCUUCAUAGGGUAGGCUAGUGACGGCGGUAUAUAGGCGGUAUUGGCAAGAGAUGGUAGGGUAAAUCGUGGAGUAUCGAUUAUAGAACAGGCUCCUCUAGGUGGGUUUAAGGCACCGCCAAGUCCUUAGAGUUUUAAGCGUUUUGCUUGUAGUUCUCUGGCGGAUAUUUUUGUGUGUUAAAUAUCUGGAUUUAGGGCUAAGCAU